UGGGGAAUAUUGCACAAUGGGCGAAAGCCUGAUGCAGCAACGCCGCGUGAGUGAUGAAGGUCUUCGGAUUGUAAAGCUCUGUCUUUUGGGACGAUAAUGACGGUACCAAAGGAGGAAGCCACGGCUAACUACGUGCCAGCAGCCGCGGUAAUACGUAGGUGGCGAGCGUUGUCCGGAUUUACUGGGCGUAAAGGGUGCGUAGGCGGAUGUUUAAGUGAGAUGUGAAAUACCCGGGCUUAACUUGGGUGCUGCAUUUCAAACUGGAUAUCUAGAGUGCAGGAGAGGAGAAUGGAAUUCCUAGUGUAGCGGUGAAAUGCGUAGAGAUUAGGAAGAACACCAGUGGCGAAGGCGAUUCUCUGGACUGUAACUGACGCUGAGGCACGAAAGCGUGGGUAGCAAACAGGAUUAGAUACCCUGGUAGUCCACGCCGUAAACGAUGAGUACUAGGUGUAGGAGGUAUCGACCCCUUCUGUGCCGCAGUAAACACAUUAAGCACUCCGCCUGGGAAGUACGAUCGCAAGAUUAAAAC
rnacentral:rRNA from 1 species